CUAAUCUUCAAAAUCCAAACAUUCCAAGCCCCGUCCUUUUGUGCAGGCAUCUCGCUGUCUGCGCUGGGCACGGAGCGGCGCGCGCGCGCCCGCCUUUCCCUCGGCGGCCCCCGGCGGCUCGGACCCGGGCCGGCAGACAGGCCAUCCAUCAUCCGCCCUCCUCCCGCCGAGCGCCGCCGCCGCGGCCAAUCCGGCGGCAGGUGGGACCGCACCUGCGGGACUGCCCGCCGCUUUCCUCCGCUCUCUUCGCCGCGCCUCGCGUGCUAGCGGUGUCCUUGUGAGCCACUGCUUUCUCCAAGGCCAGAACGGGACAGUUGACGAUGGUCCUACUUCUCCAUGUUCUGAGACCAGUUGAAACAAAAACAAAAACCAGACAACAACCUUGCAAGGGAAAGAAUUCAGAGUAAAUAAACAGUCUUUUUCUGUGAAGCAAAAUAUUUCCCUAAGGUAAGUUACUUUUCCAAGGGAAUUAUGGCAUAUCUCAAUGUGGACUAACAGGCGCUUUC
rnacentral:lncRNA from 1 species